rnacentral:rRNA from 1 species
UACGAAGGGGCUAGCGUUGUUCGGAUUUACUGGCGUAAGCGCACGUAGGCGGACUAUUAAGUCAGGGUGAAAUCCCGGGCUCAACCCCGGAACUGCCUUUGAUACUGGUAGUCUUGAGUUCGAGAGAGGUGAGUGGAAUUCCGAGUGUAGAGGUAGAAAUUCGUAGAUAUUCGGAGGAACACCAGUGGCGAAGGCGGCUCACUGGCUCGAUACUGACGCUGAGGUGCGAAGCGUGGGGAGCAAACAGG